GACGAACGCUGGCGGCGUGCUUAACACAUGCAAGUCGAACGGAAAGGCCCUGCUUUUGUUGGGUUCUCGAGUGGCGAACGGGUGAGUAACACGUGAGUAACCUGCCCUUGACUUUGGGAUAACUUCAGGAAACUGGGGCUAAUACCGGAUAGGAGCUCCUGCUGCAUGGUGGGGGUUGGAAAGUUUCGGCGGUUGGGGAUGUACUCGCGGCUUAUCAGCUGGUUGGUGGGGUAGUGGCUUACCAAGGCUUUGACGGGUAGCCGUCCUGGGAGGGUGACCGGCGACAUUGGGACUGAGAUACGGACCAGAAUCGUAUGGGAGGCAACAGUGGGGAAUAUUGCACAAUGGGCGGGAGCCUGAUGCAGCAACGCCGCGUGCGGGAUGCCGGCCUUCGGGUUGUAAACCGCUUUCGCCUGUGACGAAGCGUGAGUGACGGUAAUGGGUAAAGAAGCACCGGCUAACUACGUG
rnacentral:rRNA from 1 species